CGGACGGGUGAGUAACACGUGGAUAACCUACCUAUAAGACUGGGAUAACUUCGGGAAACCGGAGCUAAUACCGGAUAAUAUAUUGAACCGCAUGGUUCAAUAGUGAAAGACGGUUUUGCUGUCACUUAUAGAUGGAUCCGCGCUGCAUUAGCUAGUUGGUAAGGUAACGGCUUACCAAGGCAACGAUGCGUAGCCGACCUGAGAGGGUGAUCGGCCACACUGGAACUGAGACACGGUCCAGACUCCUACGGGAGGCAGCAGG
rnacentral:rRNA from 1 species